rnacentral:tRNA from 1 species
UCCCGAAUGGCUCAUAGGUAAAGCGUCUCACUAGUAUUUCCGUUGAUUACAAGACUUCAAUCUUUGACACGAUGGUUCCCGUCAUGAGAAGAUCGUCAGUUCGAUUCUGGCUUUGGGCA